rnacentral:rRNA from 1 species
AACGCUGGCGGCAUGCCUAACACAUGCAAGUCGAACGAGAAAGUUCCUUCGGGAGCAAUUAAAGUGGCGCACGGGUGAGUAACGCGUAGACAAUCUGCCCUUCAGUCUGGGACAACUUUUCGAAAGGAGAGCUAAUACCGGAUGACAAUGUAACACAUAAGUGUCACAUUUGAAAGCUCCGGCGCUGAAGGAGGGGUUUGCGUCCCAUUAGCUAGUUGGUAGGGUAAAGGCUUACCAAGGCGACGAUGGGUAGCGGGUUUGAGAGGACGAUCCGCCACACUGGAACUGAGACACGGUCCAGACUCCUACGGGAGGCAGCAGUGGGGAAUAUUGCACAAUGGAGGCAACUCUGAUGCAGCAAUGUCGCGUGAGUGAAGAAGGCCCUUGGGUCGUAAAGCUCUUUUAUGGGGGAAGAUGAUGACGGUACCCCAAGAAUAAGCACCGGCUAACUAUGUGCCAGCAGCCGCGGUAAUACAUAGGGUGCGAGCGUUGUUCGGAAUUACUGGGCGUAAAGGGCGCGCAGGCGGAAUAGUAAGUCGGAGGUGAAAGCCCGGGGCUCAACCCCGGAGGGUCUUUCGAAACUGCUAAUCUAGAGAGGGUCAGGGGCCGGCAGAAUUCCUGGUGUAGAGGUGAAAUUCGUAGAUAUCAGGAGGAAUACCGGUGGCGAAGGCGGCCGGCUGGGGCCACUCUGACGCUGAGGCGCGAAAGCGUGGGGAGCAAACAGGAUUAGAUACCCUGGUAGUCCACGCCGUAAACGAUGAGCACUGGACGUCCGGAGGGUUCGACCCUUCUGGGUGUUUCAGCUAACGCAUUAAGUGCUCCGCCUGGGGAGUACGGUCGCAGACUAAACUCAAUGAUGACGGU